CAUUCCUGUCGAAAUGGCUUUUCGCUUCGAUUGCCGCGACACCAUAUUGCUCGAACGCUCUCUACAAAUGCGACGUCUGGUACUUUCAAUGUAUUCCAAUUACUGUAUCGGUAUAUUGCUUGCUACUGUUUCUUUUUCUUUUGGUGUAGACUUUUAUGAAUUAGUGUGUGUGUGUUGUGCGUUAACGAGGAAAGUCGUAGCUUUUCGUGAUGGGUUAAGGUGUUCCAAGGUGUAUGAUAAUUGGUUCUAAGUUUUGCCGUUUCUAUUAGAUUGCUUUUUAGCUUUUCGUGAUGAGGUUACGUUGUUCCGAGGUUUACCCUUGUUGGUUAUAUGUUCUGUGGUCCUGGAGUUUUCUUGGUACAACCUUCUGAGCUUCUCAGUUUGUUAUUUUAGUGUCUUGGACCGUUUGAACACGUAGUUGGAUUGAUUAUAGUAAGCAAUUGAAUUCAUUUGAGUCGGCUGAUGAGUUUGAGCGGUGGAUUUUCAGCGACUUUUCCGGGGGCAAUUCUAAAUCCGAUUCCUUUUUUGUGAAGCUUGAUAGACUUGAAAAGGGUCGCGACUCGCGACAGAUUGAGCUAUAGAGUGAGCUAAGGAAGUAAUUCUCAGAUAUUGGAUGGCUUUGUUGAGAGCUUCAACACGUUAUCUGAUGGGAUGGAUGGGAAGUUGAAGAAGGCCUACUACAAGAAAUUUAGCUUUUCCUCACGAAAGUUUUAUCCCAAGCUUUACGUUCGUGGCAAAAACUUAGUUUAUGACACCAAAAGGGUCCGUGUGAAAAAAAGUUGCUAUUUUCUACCAAAUUACGUCCGACGAGCAAGAAGUCUUGGUAAAAGCGAUUUUUUGCGGCGAAAAAACGAAUUUUUGCGGCGACUUCAUGUUGCCGCAAAUACUUUUAAGUAUUACAACACUUUCCCCUUAUUUCUUUUUUCCCCAGCCCGAUACCCGCUCGUUUUUCCUUCUCCCCCUUUUUUCUUUUCCCCCCGCUUGAUACUCCUUCUCUGGUUGAAGGAUGGGUUUGCUGCCGCCCUUCCUAAGCCGUGCUUGCUGGUGUGCUGUCGCCACCUCGCCGAGGAGUUCCAUCGUCGUAUGUGGGGGAGCUUGACCAGAGCGUGGACGAGGGGCUGCUGCUCAAUGAAUGGGUCUGUGUUUUUCAAAUUUUUUCCCUCCCGAUUUAGGUAUAUGGAUUGGAAGCAUUUUAUCAGAGCAUAGUACUAUUUUUUGAAUUUUUGGAGUUCUUGCGUGUUUGGGAAAGUUCACUUAUUUUUGGAUAUUCUCCAUUAUUGAUUGUGAAUCUGUUACGAGUUGCCGUGCCUUUUUUUUUUGGGUGAUACAUUAGGGACUUUUUUAUGUUGAAGGAUGGGUUUGGAUCAGUUUUUUAGAUAUUGAUUUAGAAUUGAUUUGGGGUUUUGGGAGCUUUGUCGAAUGUUCUUUUGGGUGAUAUACAUCCGAGAGUUCAUGAAAGUAAGUUUUAUCUGAUUUUUGUUAAUAUGGGGUUGCUCAACCUCCUCGGGAGGUAGUGAAUGUAUCAUCAUUUCUCAUAUUUGUGGUGCCCCAUGAUUUGGGUAGGAAAAGAGGGUGGGUAGUUUUGUUACAAACCUUUGUCUAAGCUAUAAAAAUUUUCUCAAAGGAAACCUUCUCUAGCUGCUGUGAUUUUGGGAUUUUGGUAGCUCUAGCUGCUGUGAAAUAUUUAAUUCACAUCUAAUCAAAUAAAUGCACACUGAGGAGGGCAGUAAUCUCUGGUAGUUUGGAGGAAGGGAAAAAAACUUAGAAAUUAACCUGGUAGCAUCAUUGAUGGUACUUAUAUUUUGCAAAAUGGAACCAAAUAUGUGCAUACCCAUGUGUGAAUAAUAUCUAUCAUAUACGUUGACUGGGAUUUUUGGCUAUUCUGUUUUGCUUUGCAGCCGUAAGUUUUGGUAUCAUGGCUUUAAUUGGAACCUUAUUGUAGAUGGUUCUUAACUUUGUUAUCAUUUACUGUUGCUUUCAGUCAUAUAUAGAGGUUUGAUUUUGUUAUACAGAGUGAGUUCAUGUGGUUUUUUUGGGUAGCAGAUGUAGCUUUCUUUUUGUCAAUUUAAUAAGCAAUAGAAUAAUAUAUAUAUAUAUAUAUAUAAUUAAUUCGACUGAGAGAAAGGAGAAUAGGUAAAUGCCAUAUAAAAAGGCAAACCAUAAAACAAAUUAAGCAUGCAAGCAUAUUAGAUAUAGAUGGCAGAUACCAAGAGAACUCAUGUGCAAACCAAGCUCAAGAUGGAAGCAACUACCUUCAUGUUUCUACCUCAAUCUCUAUGGAUUUGUACCCAAAGUUGCCAAAAGAAGAUGGAGUUCUUGUGGUUUGUAAUGGUGAAAAUGGAGUCUCUGCUGCUCACCAGUUUUCUGAUCAUCAUCAUCAAGUAUUAUCGGACAGCAUAGAAGCUUUAAGAUCAUGAUCAUGAUCUUAAACAACCACGGAUUCCUGGUUGGUUUGCAGAGCAUUGUCCAAUUUGGCCAGGUGAUCAGUUUCACUUUCCUUGAUCAUGAAGUUCUGAGAAUUUAUUAUAUGCAUAUAUGUGAUGAUCAGACUCAAAUUUCUCCCUAUGCAUUAGCUUUUAUAUAUAUAUAUCUUUGUUUUUGGAUACAUUUAGUUGAUCUCUUUCUGACUAAUUUUAUCAGCCGAAUUCAGACAGCUUAUUAUAAGUUAUCACUUCUUCUUUUCUUACACACACACACACACACAUUAUAUACAGUUAAUCAUCAGUUAGACCAUUUUCAUCGUUAAUUUACCUUAACUAGAUCUUUAUCAUAGAAGCUUUUUUAAUGAUUUUUCUAAUUAAUUGCAGUACAUUUCUGACUUUGGACAUCUCAGGAAAAAGAAAUCAAUGGACAAACAAAUUUAAGAAAACAAAGUAUGUUAUUAUUAUUAUUUUGGUUGUUCUUUAUUUUUGGAUUCAGUAAGCAUGCUCUCAUAAUUUGGUGAAGAUGAUGAUCUUGACAUGUAAAUGAUCUUGCGCAUGCGUGUUGAUCUAUCAUGAUCAUCUACUCAGUUCAACGCAAAGGUUGCCAGGCUAUUAAUUCUGCUUUGGUACUUUUUUGUUCCACUACUUGCACUAUAAUGGACCAUAAUAUAUAAUAUAUAUAUUGUAGGACAAGCAAACUUUCUAGGCUAUUAAGUUUUGAUUGGUGUGGUUUAAUUUUUGUACCUUAUUAUCUGAUUGCAGGAAAGGAAAGUAGAAGACACGCAUAUAACUUUUCAGAAAAAGAAAUUUUGUUGACCAAACAACAUUCAUUUUGCUUGUCAUAUUUGUGGUGGUUCAAUUGAUAUGGUGAUCCUCUAUGAUUUUGCUUCUUGGUGAGCUGAAAGCUGACAAAGCUCAUUUAAGUCUUUGAAUUUCAGUUAAGGCCAAUGUCUUUAUGUUGUAUGUAAUGAACACAUUUCAAAAACUCAAGUGUUAUUUGAAUAAAAUAUCUACAUUUGUGUUGGAUUGGAUUACAUGGGCAGCAAGCAUGUUGAUAUGUCUUGCAAUACAAGAUUUUGAGUUAUAUAUAUGGAAGUGUGAAGUGGAAUGAUGUGAAUUGGUAGUAAAUAUUGAAGUGAUAUGUUGGUUGGGAUUAUUGUUGGUGUAUAUGAAGCUUGAAAGAACAUUUGUAGAUUGAUAUUAACAGCUGGAUAGACUAUGUUCAAAGUGGUUUUAUUGCAUUUCAUUGGUGUACAUGCUGGUUGUUAUGUAUUGAAUUUUAAUGGAUGGUGGUUUAUUGCAUUUCAUGGUUACGUUGGUUUGUAUAUAAUUUUUUAGCUUAUAUUAGACAAUUUUUUAUGAUCAUUUUUGGCUUAGUCUCGUUUGUUUUUAGUUUUACGGUUUGUAUUUUUUUUUUAUAAAUUCUUUUAGCAUUUUCCACGAAGACAACUAGUGGCAAAUACUAUUUUUUUGCCAGUAGAACUUUUUCCCCACAAAUGUUAUAGUGGGUAAUACUGAUACCCACCAGUACCUCUCGUGGUAUUUGCUCCUAUUCUCACAUAAACAAAAAUGGAUGUGCUUUUGCGACAAGCUUUAUUAGCUCUUGCCACGAGAUGUGUCGUGGGAAAAUAUAGGUAUUGCCCAUGACUUAAACCUUUCGUGGGCAAUAAUAUUUUUUGCGGCGAGUUUUACGCCACGAGCUCCCCACGGGCCAAAUUGGUGGAAAAAAUAUUUUUCCCACAAAAACAUGACUUUUUGCCACGAAUCCCCUCCUUGGAGAAAACCAAUAUAUCUUGUAGUUUGAUGAGGAGGAAAUAACAAAAGAUGAUUAUAAGUUUAGACUAGGUAUAAAUUUUAAAGAGGGAAUGACUUUUGAAAUCAAGGUAAUGUAGCAUACCCAGCCAUGGCCUCUGUUAUUUAACCAAUCCGUUUUUCCUUAUGGUUUUACAUUAUUUGGAAAAGCUAAGCUUACUUUUGAUCGGAUACUGUUUGUUCAGAGUAUAUACUGUAUUCUAUGAAGACAAGUUCAAAUCAGGAUUUAUGAACGGCAUAUCUUUUUGGUUCACUUGUUUCUUCUAUCUUUAUCUUUUUUAGUGCUUUUGGAUGAUUAAUUGAGAGGUUAAAACAUCAAAUUCAGUUGUUGUUUAUUUAUUUAUUUUUGUUUUGCAAUGAUAAUUCUCUCUGAAAUAUAUAACAGGGCAUCGCCAUAGGGAAUUUUCUAUAAUUUCCUUUGCUAUAUACCAUCAAAUAUGACAAUCGCAUUCCUUGUUUUGAUAAGUACAAAUGCAUUCAGUGUAUUUGUCUUUAGUUUCAAUUUAUUGUUUAACCUUUAUUAUUGUUGCUGUACUGGUUUUCUCUGUAGUCAGCCCUCUUAGAUCUGUCUCAUUAAAGCACUGCAUGGAAACCUGCCAAAAUGCCUGGGUUUCAAGUUAUUACUCAGGAAGUUCUAAGAAAAGCUGAUUUUAGGGUGAGCUUUUCUGGAUUUAAUGCAAUCGUGGACGUAGGAUGACUAUUGCUUUACACUGCUAGGUUUAAUUUUUGUAUGAUCAGUAAAAACAAGGACUGUAUUGAUGUUAUGAAUAGUAAUAGCCCAAGUACACGGGUAGGUCUAAUUGGAUUCCAUGCUUAUCUUACUUAUCAAAAAGAGAAUAACUACAUUCCAUUCCAAUUAGGUCCUGGUGUAUUUUGGGAAGUAUUUUCCGAGCUUUUGGGGUCAUUAGGGGCUUUCUAGUAUGAGUUAGGUGUUUUGUUGUAAACUUAUAAUAUACUUAGUUACUCCUAUUGAUAUAAUAUAUAUAUAUAUAUAUAUAUAAGAAUAACUACCUUCCAUACUUACCAAUGAUAUUAAUCAAUAUCUAAAUAGCAGUGAUAAAUUUAUGAUUUUUGGGUUUCCCAUGAUUGAUCAUGUAGGAGCUCUUCAUUAGCAACAAUGAUCACUAAAUUGGAGGGACAAUCUGACUCAUGAAUUUACCGAUGCAAAACUAUAUGAUAGCACCCAAUUUUUCCAAUUCACCAUUUUAUUUAACAUGUCAGCUAGGUUUUCUGUACCAGUUAUUAUUUUCAUUGCCUUAGGUUUUCUGUACCAGUUAUUAUUUUCAUUGCCACUUUUUAUUUUAUCAAAUUAUAGUGCAUACUUCUAUAUUUUGAAUGUUUAAUUAAGCUAUGUCUAGCCAUUAUGAUAACCCCUAGGGGUUAACUCAAGUGGUAAAAGGCUUGGGCUUAGGGGUAUGCUCCCACAGGUCUAAAGUUCAAAUUCGACCCCUUGGGUGUAAACAAUCUCUGGGAGCUAUCGGACUAGAAUAUGUACCCCUUGAAUUACCUAAAGUGUACUUGCGGAAAACUUCUUACUGAGGGCCUAUACACUCCUGGAAUUAGUCGGGACGCUGUUUCUAGACACCUGAUGCCAAUAAAUAAAAAAUGUCUAGCAUUGUGAUCUUUGUUAUCUAUUCUAUGCAAAAUGUCAAAUUCCUUGCAAACUUCAUAACAGAGGCCGGAAUUAUUGUCAAGAGGAGUAAGGUAAUAUUGAAAGCAAGUACAGGCAUUGUGAACUUCAUCUAGCUUUCUUUAACUGAGAACAAAAUAGCUUUGUUUUAUUUAGUUUGGUUGGACUUUUGUUGACAAGUGAAAUUUCCUUUUAUUUUCCUCGUUUCAUUUUGCAGACUGUUGUUAGUGCCAAGGCCAAGAGGAAGGUUGCUAGGCAGAUCAAAACGGCUUGAGCUUUUGGUUUAAUGCCUGGGGACAAAAUCGUUUGUUUUUGGAAAAACUAUGGAAAAUCUCAAUGAAGAUUUUGAAUUUGAAACUUACGAUGCCGUGCUGAUGUAGAUGGUAAAGACCGUCUGUGAGCCAGCCUAGACCUUAAGGUGGAUGUCAAGAUUGCCUAGACCGUAAGGUGAAUGUCAAAUCUUGACAUCCUUUACUACUGAAAACCUUUCUUUGGGAGGAAAAUGCAGAAAAAUGUGGGAAAAUAUAUUUGGAUGAUGGAUUUGUUAAAUCCUUUAACAGAAGGUCUUGUUUGUUUGUUGUGUAAAUUAGUUUCUUCUUCGUGAUGCAUUGCAACUGAAUCAUUUGCCA